CUUGAUCAGCAUGGAAAUUGGUUCAUCUCUAGUCAAGCCCGUGUGAACGCCUUCAAGUGUCCCUUUGUCCCAGAUCCUUAUCCGCACCCAAUCACGUCAUGAAUGCAUAGAGAACACACGCAAACACACACACGCCGACCAAACGCUGUACAACUAAAAGGAUGGAGCAUUAUCUCUCUUUCUCUCUUGUGUUUACCUCAUGCCGACUCUUCCAAGGCGUCCAACUGCUAUUCCCAGAGAGCAUGCGACAGAAGGACUUCCAUUCAUUCUCGCAUUCCUUUUUUUUCUCUUUGGUCCCCGCUUGCUGCCGCGUGUUGUGUCUGCCUCCUGUUCUCCGCGUCCCUUGGUGGAACACAGGCAGCAUUCAAAAACGUUACCCUCCUCUUUGUGGCGUCGCUGCUGCUGGUUCAGUUCUGCCAACGCCGGCUGACACACGUCUCCCACUCCUGAGUGAUUAACGGGAGAUGGAGAGGAAAAUUAAGCAAAGGAGGAUGCAAUUCCCUUUCUCUACCAACAACAUCUCUAAAGAAAACCUAAUGAUGCUGAAUGAAAGAGCCUGUCUGUCGUUCAGAGGGUUCGACAGCCAAGGAACAAGUCAUCAAACUGCUCCUCAACCGGGUCCACUAUAGAUUAUUCAACUUAAGUCUGUAUCUCGCUGUAUUACAUCCUGGAAUAAACCAUUUAUUCA
ensembl:lncRNA